AAAGAAAUUCGGUGCAGGAUGAGUCCGCGUCUGAUUAGCUAGUUGGAGGGGUAAAAGCCCACCAAGGCAACGAUCAGUAGCCGGCCUGAGAGGGCGACCGGCCACAUUGGGACUGAGACACGGCCCAAACUCCUACGGGAGGCAGCAGUGGGGAAUAUUGCACAAUGGGGGAAACCCUGAUGCAGCGACGCCGCGUGAGCGAGGAAGUAUUUCGGUAUGUAAAGCUCUAUCAGCAGGGACGAAAAAAGACGGUACCUGACUAAGAAGCCCCGGCUAACUACGUGCCAGCAGCCGCGGUAAUACGUAGGGGGCAAGCGUUAUCCGGAUUUACUGGGUGUAAAGGGAGCGUAGACGGCAAGGCAAGCCAGAAGUGAAAGGGCAGGGCUCAACCCUGUACAUGCUUUUGGAACUGUGGUGCUAGAGUGCAGGAGAGGUAAGUGGAAUUCCUAGUGUAGCGGUGAAAUGCGUAGAUAUUAGGAGGAACACCAGUGGCGAAGGCGGCUUACUGGACUGUAACUGACGUUGAGGCUCGAAAGCGUGGGGAGCAAACAGGAUUAGAUACCCUGGUAGUCCACGCUGUAAACGAUGAAUACUAGGUGUUGGGGGCUGAAGCCUUCG
rnacentral:rRNA from 1 species